AUGCUGGACAUUUCUUUUCUGCUGUCCUCAACACAUUCUUUAGUAACGGAGAGGAUUACUCACCUUUGGUGCUGCAGGCGUUCAAGACCCAGGGCUGGGCCAACCGGCCCUUUGUGUUUGAAGAUCCCUGACACCCCAUGCUACCAGCCGGGCAUCUUCUUCCUGAGCCAUGUCCGGAACCAGAGCAGCAGGGGCACCCUGAGCGAGUACUCGAGGCAUGUUGUCAGGUUGGCGGGGUACAACCAGGCCAGCUGCCGUGUGUGUCCACGGUUCAUACAGUCAAGGUGUUCGCUCAUCUCCCAAGAUGAGCCAGAACGAGCAUGA
rnacentral:rRNA from 1 species